GUUUAUUAGAUGUGAGACUCUUCUUUAUUUGACUCCUCAACAAUCAUUAUCCUGUUCCUCCUGCCCCAGGAAAGAAACAAAAGCAAGAAAAAACUUGUUGAUCGGUGAUUGUAGUAUCCCCAUCAUCAUCAACUUGGUGGGUCACAUUUUCUCUCUAUCUAAUUGAUUGUUUGGAUUAAUUUCUGUAUCGACUUUCAGUCAAUCCCUUGGAAUUGAAUGACUUUGUUUCCGUAAUGUCUGCAAUUUUCUCCAUCUAUGGCCCAAAUACAAACUGAAACUUGGAUUAGAAAGCAGAAUAAUUCCCAUUUAUUAUUCGAACCGGCUCAAAUCAGUUGUAUUCGAACUUAUAGUCUAAUUCCACUCAAUUCGGUUUAAGUUUGAAGGCCACCUGAGUCACCGCGCUAGAGGAGCUAUUGUUCAACAAUUAUUAUUCUUUUCAUGGACUCUUCUUUUCCCCGUGGCUCUGCUUUCAAACUCAAAUUCAAGUUAACCGUUCGUUUCAAAAGGAGCACUGUCAUGCAUGAUUAAACAUUGGAAGCCCCGCCGCAAUUUGAUUUUGACUGCAGGCCUGUAGGUAGAUCAAGCUUCCUCCUCUUCAAUAACUCUUCCACUGUCAGAUCACGAAUGAUGAAGAGCUUGUGAUGGACAGAUCACUUGUUCUUUGAAGUUCUUCUGUAUCAUGCUGCUUGCAUCAUGCUUCUUCAGAGACUCUUCUUCCUCAUCAGUCCUUCCCCUAAUCUCAGUCGUCCAACUACAUCCCGCCAAGCACAUGCUCAAUCUCAGUCACCCGUGAAAUUUUCCUGUCAACCCUAUCUCAGUUUCCAUUCGUACUUCCCGUCGAAUCCAUUCCUUUCCUUUCCGAACGCUUAAAAUCACCGCCUUCCAACUUUACUUCGAAGACAUUUGAAGCUCAUUUACGCCUUCCUUUCCUUUCCAAUGACAAGUUCUUUGAAGCUCCUCCGUAUCUUCGACGCUGAAUCUCCCGAACGCUUGGUCUCUUGACAAUCUUUUUCCAGCAUUCCCUCGAUACCCAUCAUAAUCAACGUAUCUUAACAUAAUAUCUUUCUUAUGAAUAGGGGCAAUUAUGUCAUUAUAACACUGUCUACAUAUUAGAUCGUCCUUUCAAAAUCACGAACCUCAAAAAGCGUGCCAUACAUUUAAAUCUUCGUCCAAAGUCGGUCAGACCACAUUCAUCACAAUUCCGUAAUCACCGUCCGAUUCGAACUCGAAUUCAUUCGAAACCACGGGUUAUAACAGUCAGAGCAACCGUCCAAUCCGUUUCCUUCCUGGCUCUUCUGUCUUCAAGCUUUCGCAAUCCUACCCUUUUUUGUCUGUUUUCUCCAAGCCAUAAUCUAUAAUUAUUCUGAUUUUAUGAUCUUUUUAAUUAAGAAAAAAGUUGAAAAACAAGUGUUUUGUAUAGAGCCAUGAGUGCUGGAGAUCUUGUAUAUAUUCAGCCCUCGAAGCUCAAAUUUGCAUAAAAGUUGUGUUGAAGAAGCAGAGUUCUUGUUCCAUGCAAUUGACCAACAAGACGGAUGAUUAUGUAGCCUUCAGCCUUCAGUUCAUUGAACACUGUAACUGAAUAGGUUAAAACUGUGUUCGGCCCAAUACCGGUGUCCCCAGGACCACAUGCAACGUUACGGUUACAAUGCAAGCACAAAAAGAGACACCCCCUGAUUUGCAGUGCAAGGACAAGUUCCUUCUACAAAGUGUUAUUGCACCAGAUAUAGUGACAGGAAUGGUGUGCUUUGCUGCUGUUAUUGUUUUUCUUAAUGUCUCAUUUACCUUUUGCAUGUUCAAAGUUUUUUGUUAAAAAAUCAGGUAGGCAAGUAAAGAGAAGUCCUCAGAGGUAACUAGUCUCUUUGACUGUGUUUAACUUUAGCAAUAGAAGUUUUCUUUUUGAUGGCUGUCAAAUGUUGUUGGUGUCCAAGACCGCAUAAGCUUAUUGAAAUGUAAUAUUUAAUGGAAGGCACAUGAGUUAGAUAUUAGAAAUAUCUGACAAAAUUGGUUCAGCUGCACCUUAGCCUUUUUUGAAGUAUGCAACAAACAUAUAAUGAUUCCAUUUUAUUAAUAUGUGGUGGGAAUUGAUUUUUUUUGUCUGAAGUUGCCUACCUUUAUUUAUACUUUUAUGUGUAUUAUCCUUGAUUAUAUUUAUUUUCCUUUGAUUGCCAAUUCUCUCAUGUGCAUUUCUUUUGUAGGCUUUGUCUGUGAUUUCUAAGUUGACACAGGAGAAAACUUCUGCCAUGCGACAAAAUUAGAAUUUACAGGAAGAACUGGCUGGUUUAAUUAUUUUUAUGUUGACUGUGUUUCUGUAUUAUUGUGAUUUGUUUUCAAAUAGUUUAAUCUUUUUCAUGCUCUAAUGCCAAUAAUAUUUCUUUUAGCAGCUUGCUAUGGCUUGUGUGUUUCUUCCUCUUAUUCCAACUGAUGUAAACUUCUGUGUUUGAUUUAAUGAUAUAAAUAACCAUAUCGUUUUUGUGGCACUAGAGUUAUUUUGUCUUAUAUAAUGCAUUUCCAUCAACAAAUUGCUGCAUGCUGUUGUACCUAGUUUUAUAUAAAAAGUACUUUAGGGGUGAAUUUGCUUAUUAGUAUGUUGGGACGAUGGCAUUUGAAACAUUAUUUAACAGUCUUUAGUCUCCCUAAUGUCCCUUAUUUCCCUGAAGUGGAAUUGGACCACAAUCAUGAAUGAUCGUAUCUGUAUUAUUCUUUAGAAUUGUAGCCCUAAACUGUGUCUUUGGAAGUGCUGAAGUGUAGUACAUGCAAUCUAGGAUUUUCUUUUAUAGCAGUGAUUUAUUUUAUGGUUUGUUCAGGAGUUUCCAUUUUGUAUUCAGGUGAUUGAAUUAAGAGGCGAUGCUGCCACCAAAUAACCGGAAAUUUGAAUUCUAGGAAUGAAUUUUUAUGUCAAUUUUUCUAUUUUUUGUUGCCAUUCUCUCUUUUGUUAUUUUCCUGGUGUGAAAUGGUGCCCUUCAGGCCAAAUUAAAUGCUCAUUGCAUUUCUUGAUUUUUCGUAAGAUUUUCAUCUGGGCUUGUAAAAUGCCGAAUGCAAAAGUUUAUUCAUCCUUAAAUUGAGAAAAAUUAUACUUUUGCCCAUAUGUGUUGAUGGAAAGUGAAUACUAGAUUCUAAGUUGAAGCCCUUUUUAUUCCUUACGUUCAUUUAUGCUUUUUCAUUUUGCUGUCAUUCACCAUGAUUGUAGAACAGGGUUUCAUGCUGGCAGUUUCUGUUUAGUUUUUGUUCUACUAAUUGGUCUCCUUGGUGUUUUGGUCGGCUAUCUAGCACAGAGAGGUUAGAAUCUGCAGUUCAAACAAGCAUAUUCAUAGUUCCAUGCUGGAUACAGAGCAGAAAAGACGAAUGCAAACUUAAUUUUAUCUGCACGACAGGGCUCAGGAAUAAGGUCAUCGAGAGACUUUGGUACCUUCAUGCUCCUAGUGGAGCCUAACUUUGCAGGUCAGAUGACGGAACAAAAAGUAGUAGCUUUUGUUUUAUUAGUGAUUAGAAGUAGAGGUGAAUUUCAUCCAAGCCGCUCCAGUUUGGAUCAAUGAUCAGCACGGCCAGAACCUUCUCGUCUUGCCUGUGUCACUGCUUUGGAAAACUAGUUUGCCGGCAAUUCUUGUUCUAUUUUUUAAGACAAUUUGACUGAACCAAACUUGUUCUUGAGUGGAGAUCAUUUUGGAUUCGAACUAAAUUUAAAUUGAUUCUGUUUGGAAGAAAUUCACCUCUAUUCGAAAAUGGGUUUGGUUAAUUAGAAGGCCAUCCGAUUUAUCCUAUAAACUUGUCUGCCGCGUACCGAAAGUUAUUCUGCUAACGGUGUUGGAACUCGCUGUGCAAUUCUACCUGAUUCUAAAAUAUAUUCUGUCGAGUUCCUAGAACAAAAGGCUUUUAUUCAUUACAAUAGGAGGAAUACAUAUGGCUGACUGAGCACUGCAAGAUAUUACAUAUAAUA